rnacentral:rRNA from 1 species
GACGUAGGGUGCGAGCGUUUGUCCGGAUUUAUUGGGCGUAAAGAGCUCGUAGGCGGCUCGUCGCGUCGACCGUGAAAACCCGCGGCUUAACUGCGGGCUUGCGGUUGAUACGGGCGGGCUAGAGUUCGGUAGGGGGAGACUGGAAUUCCUGGUGUAGCGGUGAAAAUGCGCAGAUAUCAGGAGGAACACCGGUGGCGAAGGCGGGGUCUCUGGGGCCGAUACUGACGCUGAGGGAGCGAAAAGCGUGGGGGGAGCGAAACAGGG